rnacentral:rRNA from 1 species
GACGAACGCUGGCGGCGUGCCUAAUACAUGCAAGUAGAACGCUGAAGGAGGAGCUUGCUUCUCUGGAUGAGUUGCGAACGGGUGAGUAACGCGUAGGUAACCUGCCUGGUAGCGGGGGAUAACUAUUGGAAACGAUAGCUAAUACCGCAUAAGAGUAGAUGUUGCAUGACAUUUGCUUAAAAGGUGCAAUUGCAUCACUACCAGAUGGACCUGCGUUGUAUUAGCUAGUUGGUGGGGUAACGGCUUACCAAGGCGACGAUACAUAGCCGACCUGAGAGGGUGAUCGGCCACACUGGGACUGAGACACGGCCCAGACUCCUACGGGAGGCAGCAGUAGGGAAUCUUCGGCAAUGGACGGAAGUCUGACCGAGCAACGCCGCGUGAGUGAAGAAGGUUUUCGGAUCGUAAAGCUCUGUUGUAAGAGAAGAACGAGUGUGAGAGUGGAAAGUUCACACUGUGGCGGUAUCUUACCAGAAAGGGACGGCUAACUACGUG